rnacentral:SRP_RNA from 1 species
GCCGGGCAUGGUGGCGUGUGCCUGUAGUCCCAGCUACUCGGGAGGCUGAGGUGGGAGGAUCGCUUGAGCCCAGGAGUUCUGGGCUGUAGUGCACUAUGUCAAUCGGGUGUCUGCACUAAGUUUGGCAUCAAUAUGGUGACCUCCCAGGAAUGGGGGACCACCAGGUUGCCUGAGGAGGGGUGAACCGGCCCUGGUCAGAAAUGGAGCUGGUCAAAACUCCCGUGCUGAUCAGUAGUGGGAUCGUGCCUGUGAAUAGCCACUGCACUCCAGCCUGGGCAACAUAGUGAGACCCUGUCUCUA